rnacentral:rRNA from 1 species
UAAGGAAUAUUGGUCAAUGGACGCAAGUCUGAACCAGCCAUGCCGCGUGGAGGAUGAAGGUCCUCUGGAUUGUAAACUUCUUUUAUUUGGGAAGAAACCCACGUUUUCUAAUGUGGUUGACGGUACCAGAUGAAUAAGCACCGGCUAACUCCGUGCCAGCAGCCGCGGUAAUACGGAGGGUGCAAGCGUUAUCCGGAUUCACUGGGUUUAAAGGGUGCGUAGGCGGGUUGGUAAGUCCGUGGUGAAAUCUCCGAGCUUAACUCGGAAACUGCCGUGGAUACUAUCAAUCUUGAAUAUCGUGGAGGUAAGCGGAAUAUGUCAUGUAGCGGUGAAAUGCUUAGAUAUGACAUAGAACACCAAUUGCGUAGGCAGCUUACUACACGAUGAUUGACGCUGAGGC